GACACUGAGUGAGAGAAUGAGAUCAGUCCAUGCCUGAAGACUCUGACAGCAGGGAGUUUCCCUCUGAGAUAGCUGGAGACAGCAGUGUAUUCUAUGGAGACCAGGACUCUGCUCCAGUAAAACACUCAUCCUCCCUUCGCUGCUCAACCAAUCCUGUUGUGGAAGCAGAUGAGCGCCAGCGAAUCAAGUCCCUCCCCACACCUGUGAAAUUGUUCCCAGAGGAUGACCCAGUCCUCAGUCCUGGUCUGCCUCCCCCUCCCCUUGACCUGCCUGA